rnacentral:rRNA from 1 species
UACGUAGGGGGCGAGCGUUGUCCGGAGUUACUGGGCGUAAAGCGCACGCAGGCGGUCUGCUAAGUUUGGAGUGACAGUUGGUGGCUUAACUGCCAAAGUGCUUCGAAAACUGACAGACUUGAGGGCUUCAGAGGGACACGGAAUUCCGGGUGGAGUGGUGAAAUGCGUAGAGAUCCGGAGGAACACCAAAGGCGAAGGCAGUGUCCUGGGGAGUACCUGACGCUCAGGUGCGAAAGCCAGGGGAGCGAACAGG